AUGUUGAUGAGAAUGACAUCACAGCACGAUAUUACUUUAUCCCUCCGUUUCCCUAUGUUAGGUUUUGUCACCCGCUCCCCCGCACCGUCCCUUGGCCAGGAGUCGCUGUCCCCGCUCGGCUGCUCGCGAACACCGCCCCAAGGUGCAGUUUUGGGGGACACGGUCACCGGGGAGCCCUCGCUGCCACAGCCCUGCCACGGCUCGGAGCUCACAGCCGCAAGGAAAGGUCACGGGAUGAGCCCAAACCUCCUGUCCUUGUUCACAGCCGGUGCCAGUUUGGCAAAGCCAAGCGUAGAAAUGGCAGCACUGAACUGGCCAGGUACUACACACAGCCCCUCCGUCCUGGUGUACACUACACACAGCCCCUCCGUCCUGGUGUACACUACACACAGCCCCUCCGUCCUGGUGUACACUACACACAGCUCUCCUCCAUCCUGGUGUACACUACACACAGCUCUCCUCUGUCCUGGUGUACACUACACACAGCUCUCCUCUGCCCUGGUGUACACUACACACAGCUCUCCUCUGUCCCGGUGUUCCCGGAGCCGGGCACAUCCUUCCAGCAGCUCCACACCUUCCAGCACAGCUCUGCUCUCGCUGCUCCCAGAGCCGGGUUUUGGGCACCUGCCCUUCGUGCCACUGCUUGUGCCCUCGUGUAGCUGCCUUGCCAAGGACCGCCACCACCACCGGCAUUGGCACGGUACGGCACGGAAUGGUACGGUAUGGUACGGCACGGCACGGUACGGUACGGUGCGGCACGGCACGGUACGGUACGGUACGGCACGGUAUGGUACGGCACGGCACGGUACGGUACGGUGCGGCACGGCACGGUACGGUACGGUACGGUACAGUACGGUACGGUACGGCACGGUACGGCACGGUACGGUACGGUACGGUACGGUACAGUACGGUACGGCACGGUACGGUACAGUACGGUAUGGCACAGUACGGUACGGCACGGCAUGGUACGGUACAGUACGGUACGGCACAGUACGGCACAGUACGGUACAGCACAGCAUGGCCCGGCACGGUACGGCACGGCACGGCACGGUAUGGUACGGCCCAGCACAGCAUGGAACGGCCCAUCACGGUAUGGUACGGUACAGUACGGUACGGCA
rnacentral:lncRNA from 1 species